AACAAAAGAAGCUGUUUUAGGGUCUUUAAACUCGGGGAAGGUGUUUAUUAAAUCUUCAAAAAUCUCAUCAUCGUAUCUAUUCAAUAGUAAGCAAUUUGAACUUUAAAUUAAAGAUGUAAAUAUAUACUUACUUUGUCAGCUUUAACUCGCUUCCCUUGCGCAUUUCCAAAAGACUCCAGUAUAUUUCUAAAUUGUUAUUUUUUAUUCCAUCAUAUUUUGCUCAACUUACGAGCCUGUUCAACAGCUUUUACUGCAAACUAAAAUUUUUUAAAUCAGUACAUGCUUUACCAAAACUAAAUACUUUCUACAACCACGUACCUGCAUUUCAAUCUAAAAUCUGUAAGUAUUAUUAAAUAAAUAAUAACCAAGGCUUACCUCGGCG